UUUGAGCUACCCAACCCCCCAUGCACACCAAGCACCCCCUACCAACUCCAAUCCUACAACGAGAGGGACCCCACCCAAAAUUUGGAAGUAGACAUCAGAUGGUGGUUGUUUUUGCUUUCUCUCACUCUCUCUUUUUUCAAGUGUUGUGUGGGUGGGGGCAUUAGUUGUCAAUGAGUGAUUGUUCGAGCAGACUGCAAGCAGAUAUGAACAAAAAAUAACCCAACCUUAUUGAUUAAGUUAAUCUAAAGCUAAAUAACAAACUUGUUAUGAAAUCUAUGCAUUUAAAUUAAAAGAAGACCUUUGUAAAAUAUUGCUACUUUUUGAACUACCAUUGUGUUGACAGCAUCUCUAGAUCAUAGUUGUAACAUAAAGAGUCAUGUAGAUGUCAAUAACACAUAAUAAUCAAGUAUUAAAACAACAGCUGAGUAUGUUGACUGCAAAUACCUGAUAUUUUUCUUUUCAUCAAAUGUUUUUAGAUAUUUAUGAUUAGAAGGACACAGCUGCGUUUUUUGAAUAAUUAAAUACCUCUUCAUUAAAGCCCCCUUGAAGAUGAAAAAGCCAAAUCAAAACAAAAAUUACCCACUGGGAUUAAAAAGUUUAGAGCCUCACUUUUACCACAGUUUGAUGUGGUAGUCAGGCUUUUAAAGCUAUUUUUCAGAGGUGGAACCUUCAAAAAUUAAUUAGUCCACUGUGAGCUGCAUUCUAAAAACAAAGACAAAAAAUCAAAUCGCCCAUAAGCAAUUCAUCGCUUUUUCUCCUCCUGCUAGUUCCCUCUAUCAAUAACUAAUUAAUGUUCCCAAACAAUAGCUCCAAGAAUAGUGCAUUUCAAUCACAGCCAGUUAUUCCAUUAACCAUGGACUCUGGGGUAUACAGUACUUUUUCAUCAGUUGAAUUUGUGUUGCAAAUUGGAUUUUUGGCAGAGAGCAUAAUAUGACGGGCUGUCAAUGCAAGAAACUCAGAAAUACAAUCGUCAUGCAUUGUGCAAUCUCAUUCUGUUUUUCAGCUGUCUAUUACUUUUAAGAGCAAUGUUUGAACCCCUUUGAAGAGAGAAAACAGUCUUUGUGUCGGCACUGAACUCACAACUUGUCAUCUAAACUGAAACUUCCAGUACCUCUUAUGUGUCAGCCGGCAGCCACAGACAAUGUGUCCCACCCCAUUUUUAUUCCAGCAAUUUUCCCUAGCAAGGCAGUCAAAAUUAUCCACAGUGAGUUAUUUCUGACUAUGUGCUGCCAGCAGAGGUGAGAAGGCUCGGGAUGUUGAAAUUUUUCAAAGUUCGCUGCAUAAUGAUACAAUUUGCUUUGUGGCUUUUUCCCUAAUGGUGCCUGACAUCCAGACGCUUUGUCUUCAAUCUUCAAUCUGUUCCGCACCCAAACAACUCCAUCCGUGUUUGUGCUUGUACUGCAUGCGCUCUCGCAUCACAAUUUUAUGGUUUUGAUCCCCCUCGCUGUUUCAUUAUCUGCCUUAAUCCUUGUUUUUUUAGGGGCUGUUUUUCACGCAAAUUGAUUGUGAAAUUUCAUGACAGAGCUGCCAGGUUUCACAGGUUAUUGGAAACCUCUGUCCGCCGUCUACCCCCUCCGCCGCCUCCUCCUCCCUGUUCUGUCAACACCUCUUGAUUUUAACCACAGGUACAGCAGGGGCUCUGCCAAUAAACACUGCUCUCCCCGAGUUCAUCCAAAGGUAACACAUUUGAUGCCCAGAACUACCCGAGGGGGAAACACUUACUCGCGAUUAUUAUGCAUAUUUUGACAGCAACCUGAUUUAAUGUAAACCCAUGCAGGGGUGACACUGCUUAUAUUUAGAUGGAAAUUAAUUUGUGUCCUUGUGUCUUUUAGUUUGUCUUCGCAAACUUCCAGCUGUUAAGGCAAGUUGAAGUGAAUGAACGCCUAAUGAUUACUGAGCAGCGGCAGCAGCAGCAGCUCAGGAGGUAAACAAACCAUUCAUCUGACAGACUGGCAGCCUGAUGACACCUGUGCAACAUCCAAAACACUUCCUACAUCCAAUUUGCAGGUGUCUUUGCACUGGUAUAUGGCAAUAAAUUGUUGCUGUGACAUUCUUACUGUCUAAUGCAGCUCUGCUGUACCUUUUAUUAGUUAAAACCCAUUGUUAUCCCACUCAUCAUUUGUUAUGAAUUGAUUGGAUUAUGUAACCCACUUGUCCGAAUACUUUUUCUGGGACUUGUGAGUCAACCAGACUUGUUUGGUCUUGAAGACAAUUCAACAAUCAUGUAACAGGCAUCAACAAUUCAUCAGUCAUAACUUAUUGACUCACUACUUCUGGAAGUCUUUUGAAUUGGAUGACUAACACUACAUAAACACACUUUUAAUCACUCAUUGAACUGCUCCAAAUCUGGUCAAACAAAGGCUUUUUUGUUGGCCUUAUAGCUUAAAGAAAAGAAAAUCAGAAAUAUUUUGAACUAACAUAAAAAGAGUGUUGAAAAACAGUUUCAAUUGUGUAAACAGCAUUGUGCAACCAUUACCAAUAAAUUAAAGGAUAAUUGCAGGUUUUGUAUCACCAAAGCAAUACAGAGCUGUACUGUAACUCCAUCUAUGCAAUUACUGGACCAAACAAUGCUUUGCUGAAAACAAAACUGUUGUACACGUAUACGCUGUUAAAAAUUGGGCUUUCAUGAUCUGCCAUAAUUUUCCACUACACCACCAACAGUGUUAAUAACAGGUUUACAUGUAAAGUUAAGUCAAGCAGAGAGUAGGUACCCGAGGUGUGCAGGUGGUUGGAUCAACUCUGGGUCGUGUGCCUGUAAGAAACCUCAAACAGUAUGAUUGGCUGUUAUUGUGUUUUACAUUUUGGUUGUCUCUAUGAUGGAAAAUUUGUUUGUUUGAGAGUUUCAGAAUAUAGUAACACAUUUUUUAUAAAGGCAUUCAGUUAAAAGACUGGUGAGUGAGAGGCAUGGCUGACUUCACUGAAAACAGGGGUACACUGCAGCCAUUUGCGAGCAGGUUAAAGGACCAUCUCUUGUAGCUCAACUGAGAGGUAGGUUGAGUCAGCAUUACCAAUAUGGCGACAGUUGCUAAUAGGCUUCAAAACUCCACUUCAGAAAUAAAUGGGUAAACUCACCUACGCUACGGCCAGUAAUCAUACAUGGUCACAGUCCAAGAACAAGUUAGCAACAUGCUGACUUAUUGUAUGUACUGUUGUAUUGUAUGAUAUGCAGCUUUUUCUUCUUCAAGCCCAUUCUUUGUCUGUUGAGGUUUUGUUUAUAAUCUGGGGUCUUCCUAUGCAUUUAUCUGGUUUGACCAUAGACUGUAUAUACUGUACUAUGGACAACUUGGCUCCGCCUUCCGUCAUGAUACGAAUUCAAUGCCAAAUUGCUCUUGGUAUUUCUGGGAUUUUCUCCACUUCCUGGAACCACCACUUGCACAGUAGCAUUGUACACAUCCAGUGAGAGAGAGGCUGUGAUGACGCUCAACUCAAACAGCGUAUCCCCCGGGUGAGCCAUGCAAGCUUCAAUACGCCCAUUGGCUGUAUCAAGUGUCAAUCAUAGAAAACACAAACCCCCAACAACUUUCAAAAAUGGAGCAACCACAUGUCUACAACUCCACAUGGAUUGCCAGAGGAGGCGGGAUUUAUGACCUAUACUGCAGCCAGUCACCAGAAGGCGCUGUUCUCAUGAUGGCUUCACACAGCAAGGAGGCAGACGACAGCGGUUCUAUAUACAGUCUAUCUGUUUGACUUUCUAGGGGAAAGAACAGCGUGUAAACUGUGGUGCAUGCUCAGAAUGCCUAGACCAGUUUUGAUCUGAUGGCAGUGUGCAUGUGCAGGAACAAAUCAAUCCACAAUUGCAUUAUCUUGACAUGUUAGUUACGACUUCGUUUGAUCGCAAUAGUCACAUGAAAAAAUAAAAAGUCAGCGUUCAGUAGUUGUAAUGGAAUUAAUCCAUUUUUGAAAAUGUACUGGAUGUUGGCCUUCACCCAAAGUACAGUCGGCAACAAAUAGAAUGGUACAUUUGAGUAACUGAAGCAGAAUUAUCCUUUAACACACUGAUACAGAAGCAAACACUGUGGUUGCCAUGUGUUACACAGUCAUAAAUUCAUUUGUACCCAUCCACAACCACAGAAGGAUUAGCACUCUAAAGGAGUGCCAGUGUUUGGGAGAUAUAAGUGAACAUGUCAUUUUGAGGUUGCUCAACCCUUCCUUGUUGUUUUUUCAGGGAGGAUGAAGUGGACUCACAGCGGUUGUCUGUCCACUCACUUGGUGCUCUCCACUUCAAUUCUUGUAACUCAGUGUGCACUCAAGUGACAAUAAUGGGAUUUUGGGAGGCUGGCGUCAGAUGUGAUGAGCCGCUUCCUUCUGUUAAUAGAGGGUUCAAAGGGGGGUGGGGGUGGGGGUGGGGGGUUGAUAUGAAGGGGAAUGAUACGUCUGAGUUUGUUUUUUAAGGAUGGGGGAGACCUAACAAUCUGUGAAACACAGACAGCUAAUCUCGUUACCUCGCAAACUUGACACGUUUUUCAGCGCUGACAGAGCUCAAAAGUUCUGGUGCCACUUUAAAAGACGUACCUCAGCAUGUGCUCCUUCAAUUCUUCUUCUCUGCUUUUAUACCGCUCCUCUUCAGAGAUGUCACACAAUAUUCUGAAUACUUCAUUGGCUGCUAAAGUGUUAGUAGGUAGGUGCUGUGCAGUGGAUUAAAAAAAGAAAGCAACAUUAAAUCAUUGAAGGAAGGAGACAUGGAUGGAAAUAGAGUUGGAGUUGCUCUUGUUUCUACGGUAACUGUCGAUGGGGAGGUACCAGGGAUGAAAGUGGAGGGAAAACAAACCUCCCCGCUCCGAUGGCAACAGCACAGCAAUUGGUUCUCGUUUCCUGCGAGGACAGGAAGAAAAAAAAAAACAUAACAAGGUCCCCUAGUAGCCCAGGAGACACAGUUCGAUGUUGCAUCAGAAAGCAAAGAGGCAGGGCAAAAUGAACACGCGCUUCAAAACAUGCACUUACACAUGCACACACACACACACAUACACACACUUCUCCCACACACGCACACACAAUCACAUGCUCCACUUCACCCUGCAGCCACCCCUCCUGCUCCUGCUCUCUCUCACUCUCCCGCCAAAACAUCUACAGCACGUGAAACCUGCCUAGAAACCGAUAGGAAACUUCCGCCUUCCUCUGAUUGGCUGAGCUCCCUAGCAACCGCGUAUACCCAACCAGCCAGUCAGGCGCGUUGUGAGAGGCACACUGACCCAAUGAAACAGAUUAUUCAGAGGCGCGGGCAGGCGCAGUGACCUGGUAACAGUCAGGAGAAGAAGUCAGGGAGACGCUGGAGGGAGAGAAGAAAAGCUUUCUGUGAUUGGCUCUCAGAUUUCCUCUUUGUUCUGAUUGGCAGUGAGCUCUCCUCUUUGCAGUCAUUCAUACAUUUCUCUGCCUGCCUCAGCACAAGCGCCUAUGUUUCCUUCACCCUCAGCCUGUUCGUUCAACUUCCAGAGUGGCCACCCUGCCCUCAAGGAAAUCCACUGCCCAAGGUCAAGGCAAAGACUGAAACGGGAUUGGUUUAGACACACAGGAGCAGAACAAGAUCCUAGUAACAAGUCUACCUCAUCAUAUCAGCACGGGAUUAAAACCUGCGAUCAACAACUUGUUAAACAACACAAGUGCUCUUCCUGUUGUGGCUGUUGAUGAGCUUGUUAUUGUGUUGCUUGUAAUGGACACGGGCCAGUGAAAGGCAUAAUUAGCUUUUUGCUUAAUAAUGCAGCAUUGACAGGGCUGUUCUCCAGGCAAGUUAUACCAGGCAUAUUAGCAAAUUGGUUAGUUUGUUUUGAAAAACUUAGCUUUCUGAAGGCGCACGGGGCGAGGUCUGCAAAAAUCUUUUUAAGCAUUCCAAACUGCUUGCUCCAGUAGUAUGGGGAAUUAAUGUCAAUACCCUGCAGGAUCAGGAGUUCACAUUGAAUAGUUAAUGAGUUGGGGGAGAGAAGGACUCAAAUAAUUCUGCAUAUCGAGCAUGCCAUGCAUACUGCCUAAUUUAACAUAACUGCAGGCAGAAACUCACUCAGGCAGGAACAUUAUACUGCUAUGAUUAGUAAAAACAACAUUACCAUCCAACACUGAAAUUGCUCAUAGCUCCCUAACAAAUUAGUUUGUUCGGUUUGGAAGGUAAACCGCAUUCAUAUUAGGGGAUUUUUUUUUUCACUUUUAACAAUAAAUGUUGCUCUGUGUUAUUUAUCCUGCACUGAAUGAUUCAUAAUAAGUACUUUCAAUCUCUUAACCAACAAUACAAAGGCUGUUAUGUUUCUCAUGUACUGACAUGAAGGAACUUCCACUUAUAAGUGGUGCAGAUGAGUUGUAGGACAAAAGAGUGGUUAAAAAGUUCCUGUAAAUGGCAGAGGUGUCUCAGCCAACAAUGUAUCCCAACAGACAUACUGUGGUAUUGUGGCAAUGGCAUCAGCACAGAUCUAAAGUUAUGUGCUGUCCAAAUAAAUCGAGAGCAAUCUAGCAAUCUAGUUUCCCUCUUGUGAGUUCGCCAAUGCCAUCACCUUUGCUACUUCACAAUUAAAAUUUGUUGUCACGUCCUUUUGACCAAUGAGAAUCAAGUACUUUAACAAAGCUGCAAUGUACCAAGGAAAUUAAAAGCUGUAGUUUUGUAUCCUUGAUUUUUAGAAAGAUGGGUACAAAUAUGGAGAAGCUUAACAGUUCAACAACUGCUUUUUCUUUUCUUUUUCUUUUUAUUCUUCAUUGAUGUUUUUCUUGUUGACUAGCAACACUUUGCAGUUAAGUCAAGAUACCAUUAUGCCUUAAUUUGGCAAUUUAACUGGACUGUUGUCCUUGUCCCAGUUAACAAGACAGGGGGAACAUUCCCCUGUUUCUAUCAGUUUGUCUCUUGGUUUACCAGCUACAUAUCAAAAACCACUUACAAAAUGCAUUAGUGAAAAAAGCUAACAAGAUGUCAAACCAAAAAACCCUGUCCUUUUUUAAAGCUCUUUAGCGUUUGUUUCCACAGUCGGAAAGUUUUGUCUUUUUUAGGUAAUUUCUUCAACGGGCGAGUUUUUUUAAAACCACCUGUUCUUCUAGCAACACUUUCAUGCUAUUCAACUUCUGGCUCAAAUGCCGGCAUGCAAACACCAGGGCAUGCACAAAACGCUCAGGCCAGUUUCAGUCUAAUCAGGCAGUAUACAGAACCUGUGCUCAACCCAGGAGCAGCAAAGUCUGGUCCCUCUGAAUUUUCUGCUAUUUUUGCUCUUUUUUUUUUUAAUGUUUUGUCAAGUUUUGUAAACUGCUGAUGGAUGUUUCUGCUGGGAGGAGCAUUUGUUUAGGAAAGGAGCUUCUUUCAUUAGGACAGAGCCAAUCUGGAGGGCAGCUUAUCUGGUUCUGGUGAAUGUCUGGCAGUGUUUAUCCGUGGUUGCCAUGCUGGUGGAGGUGAGGGGAAAGUUAAAGGCGCAGAAAUUAUGCCCUUUCCUCCAUCAGUUAUCAUUGGAACUCUUCUUUGCCCAACAAAAGCGAGGAAUGAGAAAGCAUACUGUGAGUGCAGUCUUCUGUCUUUUUUCUGAAACCUGGUGGAAUCAAAACAACUCAGACUCAGUGUGGAUCUACCUGGCUUCACUCUCAUAAGGUCAGAUAGAGAUGCUAAAGCUAGAGGCAAGAAGAAAGGAGGAGGUCUGGCUUUAUUUGUAAGCCAUUCUAAAGAAACAUGGAUCAUUCACUUCAUAACACCUUGAUGGACCACAAGAAAAAAAAAAAAAAAAAAAAAAAAAAAAAACCAACAGUAAUGGACGGCUCCUCUCUCUUUGCUGAAAGGGAGGUGUCACUGUUCCUAGCCACAUAAUCAUGUGUUAUUGAACUUUUUACUUAUUUCUUUGUUGUUUCAGCAAUCAUCAAUUUGAAAAGGGCUCUUUAGGGAAAAGUUCUCCUUACUUAUCUUUUUAUUUUACAGAUAAUUAGCUUUGAGUAGGCGAUGGAUAUAAAAAAAAAUAGUACUCAAAAUGCUGGGCUUUUCUCUUUUGCCUAUUAAAUGAACAUCAUAAUCCAAUCAUCAGAAUAGUUGUAUUACUGUUUGUGGUAAACCCACCUUCCUGAAUGAACAAAGAUGUAUGCAGAGGAGCAUAUGCAUCUGAAUCAAUCAGUGGGGUGCUUUGUUUUAUAUGGUAGACUUUGACUUUGUUCCCCAAAUGAAUGGCUGUUAGGAGUCCCUUGGGUCCUCGGUAGCCUGAGGAAUUGUGUGAUAAAGAUCACAUUACUUUAAGCAGUCAUCACAGGAGGAUAUCUCAGUGGGAAAUGUACUUUGGUUAAAUGUUAGAAGUUAGUAUAGUCUACAUACUUGUAGUCGGGGUGAAUGUUUGCCCAUGGGAGGAGCUAACCCUUGUGUGUACAGCUGAGAUCAAAGGGAACCUGACAAGCUCUGUAUCAUUAGACAAUGCAAAGGUUUGAUCUUUAAAGUUGAAAUGUGAAUGAAAAUGCAGACCCUGCUUCACAAGGUCAGCACUAAAGUGUUUACAGACCUUUGUCUGACGUUUUAAGGGUUGGCUAUCCAACUGUCUCUCUUUGUCAAGGCCUCAUUAAUGCCACUAGGGAUGACCUCAAGUCAAACAAGCCUGGGGGGGGAUUUCGAAUCAGACUGGAGCAUCCGAUGACUCACCUUGGUUGCAUUGAAGGCCUCUAUAAAUCCGUCUUUUCAAUACACGGCUACAUCUUUCACCAGUCUGGGCACUUCUCAGAAACCAGGAUGUGUCAUGAUUUUGAAGGAUUUCAUGUUGCCAUUACCUCAUCCUUCAAAGCCACAGUCAUUUACAUAUCCUGGGGUUUCUGGGGGAGAUGAGCGGCACACUAUCCUCAUCCGUGAAAUGACCUAUUCAACUUGUUUUUUGUUUGGCCUGUAGAGGAUCGCCUCUGCUGUCUGUGUGAAGCUAAUUGGAUACAGCAGAGCUCCAAGCCGGGCUUCACAGCCAGGGGGAAAUAAUUUCAGGAAAUAAAGCAUAAAAGUAUUGUGCCAUGAAAACAGUGUGCGUUCAGCAUUUUAAGCACUGGAAGUGGAAGCAGAAAAAAGAGACAGAUGUUGGACAGGUUUGUGAAUAGACAGUGAAAUCCACUCUGUACACUGACACACACCGCCUCUUAGUUUGGAAUCCACAGGAUGUGCUAUUAUCAUGCAAAUGAUUACUUUAGCUGGAAAUGCCAAGGAAGGGAUUAGCAUACGCAAUAUUCAUUCAUAUUAAAACAGACCUAUAAUGUUUGGCUAUGAAUCUUCCAAAUACUUCUUAUCCCUGUUUUUGUCGUCUCCAAGUGCUAAGUGCAACCCUGUUUUUAUAGUGUAAUUAAAAGCUGAAUAUGCUCAACAUGGAAAGAGAAUUUUAAAUCAGACAAAUGCAGGGAACUUAGCUUUAAUUGCGUCUCGUUUGUUCAUUCAGCUCUGACCUACUUAGCGACUUUCCCAAACACCAUUUAUCAACCAAAUCAAUUAUCCUAUCUUGGAUUAGCAAACAUAAAAGCCCCACAAGAUUUCCACAACAUCACCUCUCUGCUUUGGUUUAGAGACACAGCAACCAGAACCAAUCGAGCAGCUGCUCUUUCUCUUUGAACUCUCGCACUUGUGCAGCUUCUUGGGCAGCCUCGGUGCAUCUCAGGGGGGUCAGCAACUCUGAAGGAUCUCCACUGUGUUGCUCAAGAUUGCCUGGAGGUGUGACAGCCGCCCUCUGAUCUGCCGGCGCCUCUGAAGAUCUGAGGACAGACUUUGCCCAUACCGUCAGUCGCGAGCGCUAACAUUAAAGCGGUGGCACCACAGCGAGCCAUGCAGAAACACAGCAUGGGCCCUAAUUUCCAGUGUCUUCCUGAGCUAAAGAGGAAUAUCUGAGAGGAAAAAGGCAUUUUACUGUAACCAAACCAGGGCUUGGUAUGCUCUGAAUAAUUUUAAGGUUGUCUUAAUUAGACAGCCAUUAUCCAGUAGCUCAGAAGGUACAUACUUAAGUGAUGAAAAGCAUUUUAACUAACACCCACUAUGCUUCACACUUCAAAUUUUAGGAUAUUCUGAAUACAGUUUUUUACCCCUCAGCGACAGCUUUGCUCAAAUUUGUCAAUCGGUUUUAAGAAAUGAUCCGGUUACCACAGAGGAAUUUUAUGCUCGCAGAAUUCUAUUUCCCAGCCAAUUUAAGAAAGGAGGAGGAGGCUGCAUGACUGAGCUGCAAAUUAAUUUUACUGUCUAUCCCCUGGCUGUCUUCCUCUUUUCCCAGGAGGCUUUGCUUUUUGGGUGACUGAGCCUUACACAGCUUUCUGUCACUGUUGCGCACAACACAUGGGCAGCAGAUGUUAGCAGGCUGUGUGUGCCAGGAUGGUUUUUGGUAUCCAGCUAACCUUAGUAGUGCUCUAACAGAUGUGGCUGUGUUUAACGGGGGAGACGUUGACUCGCACACCUGUUGAUUGGACCGCCUGCUUUUGACCACCAGCACAUUCCUGCACCUAACAGUUAAUGAAGCUAAUGAGCUGUUCCAUUAGCUUCAUUAACUGUUAGGUUAAUAAAGCUGAUAGGAAAGCCCAUUAAAUUGAAUUUGCUGUCAAUGUAAGAGGAAUAGCUGCACCAUGCUCCAAUGUUUUCCCUAACAGUAAUUAAAAUAGUCUCUGUUUGUUACCAAAAAUUAGAGUCUACAGUCGUAGUGGCUCAUAGAGGCCGCAUCUUUGGCCAGUAGCACUAGCUUAAUGGUUAAGCUACCAUGCUGUCAUACUCACUAUACUAAUAUUUAUCAUCUCUCAUUUUAACCAUGUCAAUUUUGUCAGUUUAAUUAGCAGCAGGUCUUGAGGGUUAAUUUGUUACAUAGAUCUUAUCUGUGCUGGCUAUAGGGGCCGUUUCUACUUUUAAACCUGGCCAGCUAAGCUCUGAAAUGGAGACAUAUAGGCCUAAUUGGGCAUCAGCUUACAUGCCAAGAGGUAACACUGUGCUUGUAAGAGCCAUAUAUGGACCACACCUACAUCUUAUUAAAUUAAGAUCUCUGCAUGUACUUUUACACAGUUAAUUAGCCAGCUAGCUUACAUACUAAUGUUAAUGGUGCAUUUCACCUUAGGGAUUCCUGUUUGCUUUCUUGUUAAAUGACAAGACAUGGUCAUAUAGUAGGAAAGCAAAUCUGGGAUUUUCUUCAAAGUCUAAGGUUCCUGAGUUACAUGUCAGGCUGUAUUGAAAACAAUUAAGUCGUCCGCAUAGAGAGUAAACUAAUGGUAUUAGUUUUGCAUUUCACAAAGGAAACAACUAAAAUGAAUGAAUGAUAUUGUGUUGUAGCAUCAGCAGCAGAUCUUGAUCUGAAAAUUGUACCUUGUAAAUUGUGUGUUGACAGCACUGCAUUGUUUUGGUUUUUUUGUACAAAGUAGGCACUAACUAAGCAUAGCAUAACUAGACAUAGACUCUGAUCAAUAAUGCCAUUAGUUUACUCUCUGUGGAGAUGAUUAGGGCCCAUGCCUGGUUAAGAUAUCUUUAGUUAGGGCCCAUUUUGUACACAAAACCAAUGUAGUGCUGUCAACACACAGUUUUCAAGGUUAAUCAUCAGGUCAAGAUCUGCUGCUGAUGCUACAACACAAUGUCCUUCAAUCGUUUAAAUUGUUUCCUUUGUAAAAUGCCAUUGACUGAAAGCCAAUAUAGAGCAUAUAGAGCAUUUUAAAAUAAAUAACAGUCUCUACUGAGUGAAAACGGAGACCUUGUUAAGUCAGUUAGUAGGGGCCAUUGCAAAACAAGACAAAAAAAAGCUGCCAGUGGACACAGGCUUUAAGCUGUAAGUUGAAAAGUAAGUCCAAAACACAAAAAUACAUUGAAUUUUUGUAUUUUUGCCUAUUCGGUUCCAGAUUUUGUCCCUUGAGAAUGCAGUAGCAGACAAUAAAAUGAAUGAAAAUCCUUUUUUGAGUUAAAUACACCACCAAUUUAAGUCCAGUACACCCUUGGGGGACAUGACUGACAUUUUCAAAUGUCUGUAACAGUCCACCAAAUACUUGUUGAGGGUUGAACCAAAGCAGUCUGUUUGGUAAUGACUUUGUUUUCACCUCAGGCCAGUGAAGGAAUAAGCAUUAAUAAAAACUGGAGAUCAAUGUCAAGCCAAAAAAUGAUGCCACUUGUGUUCAGAGCUUGAGAAUAAAAUAUGACGAGUUAAUGAGCUGUGUUCAGGACGUGUCUCUGGGUUUUCAAGAAAGGGCAUCAAAUAUUCAUAAAGAUGUUUCCUUGGCAGAAAGGUUUAGUUGUAUGAGAUUUUUCAUCUGCCUGGUUAAUAUUAGAAAAGACCAGGAGGGCUCAGUACCACCAGUAAUGGCUAGAGACAUUGUCUUCUGCUUAGGGCGUUUCAAGGCGGAUAAAACAAUCAUCACCCAAUAGACUCAGACAGCAUUGUGACAGCCAUGGAGUUCACAGAGGCGAAUAUGUCACUGCCUACUUGAGAGAGAGAGACGACCAGGAUUUUUUGGUGCAGUGGAUAGGAGCUGCGCCUGGCUGGUCCUCCAUAGCCGGCAGUCACAGUCAGUCUCCUCAUCUUCCCCCAGUCAGAGUCCCAGGGGAAGCAGGAAUUGACGUGCCAUUAAAGAGGCUUUGAAGAGAGGCAACUGUCAGCACGACUGCCUCCGCUUUUUUAAGCAGUGAGAGAAUGGAAGUACAGAUGUGGGUGCAAUGAGGACAGAGCGAACAGCCUUGGAAAUGUCUUACUGAGUCGUCUGCACGACUAGAAACAAGAUAAGGGAGAAAGCUGUUUCUGAAGCAAAAGCUGAUAGAGGUUGUUGUUUUUUUUAAAAAAAAGCUUUUCUGCAGACAAAAGAUACUGAGGACAGAAUAAGUCACAUGCAGGGAAAGUUAGCUAUCUGUGAUCAUUCUACUCUGUGUUUUAAAGGGAUUUAAGUGGAAAUUAACAGCUUAAGUUGACUGCAUUUGUUUAAUAAGCUGUUUUUGUCACAUUUUCAGUCAAGUUCUUGACCUUCAUGACACGGCAUAUGCCAAUGAGGACAAGACCAUAUUAUAAACAUUCACUACAGGGGGGGGCAAGCAACCAAACCCACAAUGAUGUCAUGCUUUUGGUAGUUGGUGAAGUGAGUCUGCAGAGGAGAUGACCUAAUUUCCUGUGUGGUCACGAUCAAGGAAAGGGAGUUUUGGGGACUUUUCUGUCGCCCUACAGUGGAUGGUGUAAUUACGAUUACACGAAAAACAACGUGAUGCAUGUUUACACUUUGACAUCACUAAGAAUUAUACAAAAAUAAAGUUUCAACCACUUCAAUUUUCUCUCUUUUGUGUGUUAAAUGUUGGAUUUUUUAAUGUCAAAGCUGACUUGCAAAUGUGCUCCUGUAAAGGCUGUAGAGAUAAAUUUAUGCAGAGUAGCGUUCAUACAUGUCAGAGCUGUAACCUACAGAACAUGACAUCAAUACACGGGAUUUCAUGGUCACAUUUUAUGCGUGUCAUAAAAAAUAACACCCCUGAGCCUCCUUGUAUGCUCUGGUUGUUGCAGAAUCAUUAGCCACAUCAAACCAGUUCACGCCACACAUGGUCAUGACUUCAUGGCUCAUUUUGCACGCUGUCCCUUGAAUGAUUUGGCUCAUUGUUUGUCUGCUCAGUGUCUCUGAAUAAGCAUGAGCCCCGCCCCUCUCCACAAGCAGCACCACCACUACGUCUGGUAGCACAACUGGUGUGAGAUCAAAAGGCGUCUCGUAAACAAUCCAUGAAAAGGGUUAUGUUACGGAUGACACCAUCACUUAAUUACAGUGUCUUUUACACAAAAAUGAGCUCUGCUUGUUGCUGCCAUGAAAGGAUAUAUUCGACCAUGGCUGCAGAUGAUGCCUGCGUUUACUGGGCUACAUUUGAUUUUAGCCACCACCGUAGCAGGAAGUUCUUCACAAAACAUAGGUCUUUCCACUGCUGUUGUUUCAUUUGAUGCGAGAAAGCUCUUAAAUCACAAGUUUGAUUCAAACACCGAAUGAGGAUUAGGAUUAACCCCUGAGGCCAUAUGCAUUAUCUGACCUUUGACCUUGUUUGUUUGACUUUGAACCCAUUGUAUAGCAUGACAUCCGAAACCUCAUAGGUCUGAGAUAAUAGCUUACAAACUUACACAAAAAUAAAUUAAACACUUGAGUGUCACAGCUGUGUUCAACACUCAGCUGACCUUUGUCUUCCAUGUGUGCUGUUCCUGUGUCGCAAACUGCUGUGAUGAAGAAUACACUCUUGUUUUGUUGAAGAGACUGUUGCUUGGGACUCAGCCCUGAUGCAGCCUGAUCACAUAACCAUGACAAACCACUUCUUUCUGCAGAUCAGAGUACGAUACAGUGUAUUGUAAAUCAGCCUAUUCAUGGUAAUAUGUCCAUAAAUCAUUUGAGACUGUGACAAACACCCUAGAGACAAAACAUCAACAAAACUGACUGUAAGGGUUAGAAAUCUUCAAUCAAUCCUUUGUGUCAUAUUGUUGAUCUUUGUAGUAAGUAGUUGCUAAUAAAGCACAAAACAAUAAGGCUAAAAGCUUGAUUUUUUUCAACCCUGUCAACAAAAAAACUUACCUCUCAUGUCUUUGCUGUUUUGUACUGUAUCUGUAUGUUUUGAACUUAUUACAUCUAACCCUGACUGACAGAAAAGGUUAGGCGCAAUAAAGAUGACCAUAUAGUAAUUAUAAAACCUGCCAAUGAGUGUCUCAUAAGUUUUUCAAGGUACAAUAAAGGUACAAAUCUUGAUUUUCGCCUGUUUCACAACCAGACAUAAACAGAGGAGCUUUAUAAGCCUUGUGCCCCCAACAUUAUUCCCUACUUAUUACCAGCUUUGUUAAAGCUCUUAUAAAGAGUUUUUUGAUGUGUAUGAAAUAGACUGAAAUUCAUAAACAAAAGUAAACAUAACUUUUAGCAAAAGACAUAAGAUUUUUAUAUCCUAAUUUCAAUGCUUGGAACCAGUGUAAGAGGGUGGGUGUCAGCCUUGCAGCUAAAGAAACAGCCUGAUUUUAAUAUUUUCAUAUAGAUUAUUCUCAAUAAAUUAUAGACUUGACCGUUACAAGACAGCAAAAUGAGAUGUUUUUUUUGGCAAACAUCACUACAUAAUCAUGCAGAAUACAAGAUAAAGACUGCUUUCUUCACAAUUAACAAAAACUGAAAAUUCUUCUUUCUUUAAAUACUUAAUUUUGAUUCAUCAAUGCCCUUUGGCAACAGGUUGUUAUUUCACAAACACUGAUCCUACACAUCUAAUCAAGUUAUACAGCUAGAAGGCUCCCGGCACAUUUUACUCCUAAUGUUUACACCAUGGCAAAAAGUUAGCUUCAAUCAGAAUGCUUCACUGGUUUUUAAGAUGGAGAGUGUUUUUAUUUAUUUCUUUAUUUUUUAUUUAUUUCAUUCUAUUAUCUUUCAGAGAGCACAAAACUUUACAUUAUUAGAUAAUGGGGGAUCAAUAACCAAGGACAAAAGGAAAACAAGAUAAGGUAAACAGCAAAUCAGGGACAUCUAUCAAAUUAAAGAAACAUAAUAUGGAGUUCUCAUUUUAUGUACCAGUUUAAGACACCACAUAAACAAUUAUAUUAUUAUUAUUCAAUUAUACACAACUAAAGUAAAUGACUUUGAUGUAUAUUCCUCCCAUCAGAAUUUUCUGGUGCCAUAAGAUGCCACUAUUGUACUUUUUUUUCAUUAAACUUAAAGCAAAACACAACUUCUUUUCUUUUAUGAAACAAGUUGUUGUGGGGGAGCCCUGACGAGCCGGUCACCAAGUGCAGCAGAAAAUUUAUGAUUAUUACUUUAUGGAAAUCCAAUCAGACCAAGAUGCUGAGGCAGAAGAACUACUGCGUCUGCGGUGUCCAUACAAGAUACACAAGAACUCUGAUUGCAUUUCCAUUAAGUAAUAAUCAAAAAUGUUCUUCCUUGAGCUGCGAAACUCCGCUGUACUCAGAGAUCAACUUGCCACAAACACGCGGCUGCUGGAAAACAGUGAGAUAGUUGUGUUUGGUCUCUUUGCUAAAGAAACGUGGCAAGGAUAAAAAGAUGUUUGAUGGCUAGUACUAUGGCUGGGACCCUAUCUGUUGAUGAAGUUAGGUGCUGUUCUGAGCAUUAUUUGUGGUUAUAGAGUGGCUUUUCGGUUGAGGUUUCUGUGUGGAGACGCAGACCACUGUGUGUUGCUAUUGUGUGGUCAUUGCUGAAGUUGGUAUGACUAGAGAAGCAAGCAAUCUGCAACAUUCAUCUACCAAGGGGUUGUCUAACUUGGUGUGUGUGUUUUGACCAUAAUUUAAAUUUACGUCGGAUUGUCCCUUUAAGCCUUCAACUCAUUUCAAAGUAACUGACUAGGAAUAAAACAGCCUCUCAUGCAUUGUUCUCCAACCCCCCAAAAGUUGCCGGUCUGUUAUGAAUCAUCCAUUUCUUUCAGACAUAAUUUGAACUGACCCUUUGGGGUUAUUUUUAGAUCUCUAAUAAGUUUGUCCUGAUGCUCAGACGGGGCAGCCACAUUCCCAGAAGUGAGCCUCAUCUGACAGGACUGGACAUGAAAGAGUGCCACAACAUCCAAAAUGCUGAGCUUUUUUCCCCUGAAAAGCCCAACAGGUUUUCACUGGGAUUUUUUAGGAGCUCUGACUUUGAAGUCCUAACCCAGAUUUAGAAGGGGAAGUGAAUGUUUUCAUGGGGGAAAGUCAAGCAAGAGGAAUGCGGAUGGACAGAAAUAGCCGCCCAAACUUUCUCUUCUCUUUCAGGUGGGUGGACGGGGCUUUGGGGUCAGCAAUAGAAGCAAACAAUGACAUCAGGAUCACCUCCCACGCAUAUGUCCACACACACAUUUCAGUGCUCCUCCUGUGGUGAUUGAGGCGCCGACACAUCAAGAUUAAGUGAUGUCAUCCCCUAAGCAGCUCCUCUGUGGUCUCCCUCUGGGACCUCAUGACCCCACAGGAGCCACCUGCAGUUCAUAAACACCAGCCACGAGCUUGUCACAGGGGGUUCAAAGGAAAAGACACACCCCAGAUGGCCAGCAAUCGGUGUCAAAGGACUCACAUGCAGUGCAACACAGCAUUCAUAGUCCAUGUUGUCAGCCUGGUCAGGGGAAAUCCAGCUCAGGAGUGGCAAAUACUUUGUUCACAGGCGGCUGAUACAAACAGGGUCACUGAGUACAACAAGACCUUUAAAAACUAUGGCUAUAGGACCUGAUAGUAUUGUGGUAGUUAGUUUACAGACGUUAUUUUGAUUAGAUUAAAUAGAUAGAUAGAUAGAUAGAUAGAUGGAUAGAUAGAUAGAUAGAUAGAUAGAUAGAUAGAUAGAUAGAUAGAUAGAUAGAUAGAUAGAUAGAUAGAUAGAUAGAUAGAUAGACUUUAUUGAUCCCAAACUGGGAAAUUCACAAAUUGAUCUUUAAUUAAAUAAUUUGACAUAGGGAAUAUAUAUUACUAUGAUUUCUUAAGAAGACUGAUAAUACUUACAUAUUUCCAGAGAAAAUAUUAGUUUACUGUUGAAAAAUGUUAGCUUGUUCUGUCCACAGGAAUCAAGAUCCCUUUCGAAGCAUCUCUAGUACACACUUACUGCCAUUUAUCACAGUGUUUCAUUACAUCAAAUCAGGCUUUUCUGUGUCAUGGAUCAGCAAUUGAUUGACCCCCAUAUUACACAUGCACUCUUGACAUUUUUAAAAUUAUGUUCAGACAUGAAAGUCUUGACAUUUUCUGCAAUUUACCUUGAACAUUAACACAAAUACCAGAUCUUUUACCCUGAUGCUACUCAAACUUUUUCCUUCCACCCUCCUCACAAAAUUUCUGCAGGAGGUUGGGGAUGAGUAAAUGCACAAAUGUAGAUGGUAAAAGUCUGAGAAAAUCACCUCAAGUGGCAGUGUUCAUAUCAUGCGACCAGUGUAUUUAAAUGCCAAUUAAGUAAUCCAUGUAAUCUGACUUCUUACUCUUUUCAACUCACAAGCUCUUAUCUAGUCUUGUAUUGUCACUAUAAUUAUGUCCGGUUACAGUUUGGAUUUGGGGGGCGAGCUCCUCAAAUUUUCAGGAAUACAGAAGUGAAAGGAAAUGCAAGUUUCCCACUUCAAAUCUACAAGUCUGUUUAACUUGCCAGCCUCAAAUACUAAAAGUAAAACAUACUGGAACAGUCUUCAAAGUAGAGAGCAUCCAUAAACAGGAUGAACAAGUUAAGUGAGAUACACAGCAAUUUCUUGAUAAGAUUAACUUAGAUACAUGGGUAUAUACUUACUUAAGGGUAUGUGUUGUCAUGGACCGAGAAAGUAUGCAUUAAAACCUUUACACUGCACAAUGUGUUAUCUGUGCUUGUAUGUUUGCAUUCCCUAACUGAGUGAUUUCUUAUCUGUUUUCAUAGAUUCAGAGCAUUUCAACCAGAGAGUUGGAGUAACAUUUUAUUUAUUCAUAAGAGCUUGAAAAAUUUAAAACUUCAGGAUGGCAGGCUAAUUGAGGAACUCAUGGCCCGUGUAAACAGUGCCCUCACUUUCUCAGAGGCCAUAAAGUCUGUAACUGAUAACUUCAACAUCUCUUUCCCCAACCCUGAAGGUCACAGCUUUAUUACUUUAUGGUAAAUUAUCAAUAUGAUGACCACUUAAAACUCCAGUCUGGUAUAAAUGUCUUACCCUGAACCAGUCUUAACUAUAUUUAUUGAUUUUAUGACAAUGAAUGAAGUGAAAUGUUAAUACUUUUUCAGAUAACGUUGACAGAAAGCACCGUUUUACUGUGUUCCCUGACUGUAAUCGAUUACCUAUAAGCUCCUUUCAGCAGAUCAGCACCUGUGAUGCUAUUUAUCAAUGAGGAACUGAGCGCAUGAAUCUGAGCGCAGGACUAUUAAGUAUUGAUGUAGCAGACAGACAUCUCAGGUAGCAGAGAAUCUCUCCACAUCUUAAUUAGAGUUUCUUUCAUGCAUCCAGUGUUGAAAUCAGCCCAGGGGUGAUCCAAACAGGCCGUCUCCUGUACAGACUCCAAUGCGUGUCUAAUGAGUCCAUCAUCCUGACAGCACGCUGUCCUGCGGGGGCCUCCAUCAUGAUUACCCUGGUCUCACAGAUGAAUGUUCUUGGAUUGAGAAUGCCAUCUGUCACUUCAUGCCAGUGUGAGUUAACUAAAAAGGGGUGCGGGGUACAUCAUGUGCACACCUGUUUGUUGUUUCUGCUUCCAAAUCACGUGACACUUCUUUUUCAUUUCCACCAUCUUUCCAACAAGUCUGAUGUGAGCUACAGUUAAGGUCAGAUCCCGUGAAAUUGAAGCCCCCAUACGGCAAAAGCCACCAGGAUAUGAAUGAUUUACUGCAGCCAUACCUCAAAAGCACAUGCCGUAUAUUAAAGGUUCAAUAAUUGAUGCCACAUCCCGUUAAGCAUCAACGCAAUUUUCUCACAUCAGGUGAAGCAAUCAAACUGAAAAUGAUGUAUAUCAACUUAACUUUGCAUCUCAGGACUGAAAAAGGCCCCCCAAGGAGACGCAAUGAAGUGAAAUUACUCUGCUAAUGUAAAAAGGCUGUUGCGAGCUACACAUCUCUAACCUCUCCUGCACUCGUAGCACUUCACGCUGAAUGGUUUUAACUCUCACAUUCUGUCAACACUUGACAAAAAAAGCCAUCUCCUUUCACUCGGAGUACAGUCAAUAUUUUCAGUGCGCCAGUUUUCUCUUUGUGCGUUGAAUACUGGGAGUGAAGAUGGGAGGCUUUUCAUCAGACGACUGCUGGCAUGUAAACAUCCCAUUACAUGUCGUCAUUCAGUUAUUUACUUUGAUCUGGCUCUAUGUACAGGUGCAGAGCUCUCUACAGAGGUGAGAAAUCUAAAAACCAGGUCAAAUUAGACGAAUAAAACAGAGGGUGUGUGGGAGUAAGGGUGUUUGAUUUGCCAAAUGUGAUUAAAGAAGCACUCUUUAGAUUUCUGGCACCACAACACAAAUACAUGAGCAUGAAAAACUAUUGUUCUUUUCUGAAGAAAGCUCAUCCUUCAGUUUGUUAUUUAAUACAGUCUGUCACUGGUGAAAAGCUGAGGAUGCAAGUGCAAGACUUAAUACAUAAUAUAAAACAUGUUAAAGCUCCAAUAAGGAGUUUUGUUGAUCAUAACGAAAUGGAUGGAAAUUAAUAUUAAUGCCUUGUAAUGGUACAAAAGCAAAUAAGACCACCAGAGACAAGAUUAAGAAUGUUUAUAUCCUUGUUUUUAAUGUCCGAAACUCUGUAAGGGGGUAGGGGUCAGCUGUCAACGAAAGAAACAGUCCUGAUUUGACCAUUUCCAUAUCAGAUAUUCACAAUAAAUUAUCUGUUUUAUUGUUAAAAGUCAGCAGGAUGUCAAGACUGCUGUGUUCACUGGGGUGCACAAGUAUUGACACCAACCAAAAGUCACUAACUGGAGCUUUAAAGACCUACUCUGAUGAAAAUCAUGUUUUUUCUUGUUGUCUAAAUGUUCAUAUGGCAGAAAAAUAAGUAUGAAGUUGCAUAUCUGAGUAAUUCUGCAUUCCUAUCGCGGUGAAUCUCUGGCAGACUCAAACAGCACGAUUCAGACACAUUGAGAUUUCCUACAUAGCAAAUCCAAGCUCCGCCUCCAGGGCCCCGCUAUGCAGGCCAGGCUUGGAGAAAUAAAGAGGAUGAUCAUGGAACAAGUGUGUGUGUUAGCAGAACGCAAUAAUCAUAAGAAAGAUAAUCAGGAAAUUAACUUUCAUUAUGUCUCCUAAGACAUUAGUGUCUGAGAGCUGAAUAGCUCCUAUGUUACCUGCUUCUUCUUCUACACCUACAAAGUUAGGCUACAAUCUAGCAUGAAGAGGAGUGUGCAGAGUAGCAAUGUCUCUGCCCACGACUCAGAGGCGACUUGCUUAUGAGCUCUGCAGAGGAAAAGCCCUUAAAAAUGACACAGGUAACGUAGUUUUGUCAAAAAACUCAUAAUCACAAUUUAAAGACCACUGAGAACACUUUAAGUUGUAAAACAAAAACGAUCAGAGUGAGACUUUAAAGACUUCAUCUGGGCUCAGCUGUUAAAAUUAGCACACUCUGGAUUAAUAUCAGAGGUUCAUAAACUUCCAGACUGUGAAUGUGUGCAGAGAUCAUAACAAACAGAGCAGGAAUACAUCUGCAAAGUAGCGGGGAUUCAGAAUACAGCUCCGAAAAGUUGCAACAGCUGGUGAAAUCCUUGGUCUACUUCAUUAAAGGGUGCAUUUAUAAGUCCUGCAGGUUUAGUACUUAUGUCAUUAAUUGCUGUAGCUUUGGGUUGUCUCUGCAGUUCUAAAAUGCCUCUUAAAAAGACACAAUUACACACAGCUAUUACUCUGUCGCUAAUGGUAGCUGUAGGUACUGUUUUGUUGCAAUAAUGACUUUUCAGGUGACCUAUAAGCUUUUCUGUGUUCAAACUUUAGGACUUCUUCCAUCUUUUUGGAACACUUGGGGCGCGUGUUUUUACCAUUGCAAUCAUGUUAUUGUAGUCUGAAAAGUGAAAUACAAACACAUCAGUGGUGCGACUGGUCUCCCUCCCUCUGCACAAUGGCUUAUUGAAUGUGCCACCACUGUGUCAGAUUAAGAGGGUUUUGUUACUGGCAAAUGAAACAACUAUUAUCUGCUGUUUGUAAGUCUAUGAACGUAAUAAUAAUAAUAAUAAUAAUAAUAAUAAUAAUAAUACUAAUAAUAAUAAUAAUAAGAAGAAAUAUAUGCUUCUAUCUUUGGCCCAUAUCUGGUCUUUUUUUGUCAACAGGGUGAUAUAGCCAGGUUAAAAAAAGAAGCAGCUUUGUGACACUGGAAACUCUGAAUUUAUAAUCCACAGAGCCAGUUUUUCAUCCUUUGUUGUGCACCCUUUACUUCUUGAUCCUGCCUUUUUUGUGUGUUUUUGCAUCAUUCAGUGCUGCUCCCUUGUGCGUUCACUGCAUAUAAACAUUUCCAAAUACAGCACACACUUCCUGAUGUUAACCUUUUGGUUGGACUUUCUCGUGACUUAGCUCAGUUAUGUGCUUAUAUUGAUUCUAUCUGCGGUGGUUAUUGUCUAGGUUUGAAAACUUACCAAAUCCCCUGCCUACUUUUCACAAACUGUGGAUAAUAUGCUUCCUAUUGACUUAAGAAUAGACUAAUCCUUUUAAAUGUAUACUUGUUAACAAUCUAAAAAAAAUCAUAAAUCCAGCAUUUUCACAUCCACAUUGUUUUUUUGUUUUUUUUUCAUAGAGAAAUGAAUAUUUUUACCGCGUGUUGCACUUCCACUGUGUUGUGCUGCCACGCUGCCUUGUUAUUGUUCAUGUUCCCUUUCCUGCACACAUUGGUGGACAGUUGUUCUUUCUUCAGCUGCAACAUGUGCUCUGGUUUCUGCUCAACUUCCUCUAGGUGUGAAGGGAAGCCUUCUGCGCUUUAACCCGUGAUUCAAGUGUGUGACAUCUGAAAAAAAGCAAUCAUAUGAUAAGGCAGAUGCUUAUGGUUUUCGAAAGCUCUUUUUGCCCAGAUACAGCUCCAGUGUGUGUGCGUGUAGUGAGUGUGUGUGUAUGUGGCGAUGUGGGUGGGGGGUGGGAACUUGUUUACAGCUCACACACGCUGCUUUGAGUCCUCUCGACAGGGGAAGAAAGACAGCGUAUAGCAGAACUUGGCAGAGCGAAAGUGCAGUGGUGAGUUUUAAGGGAUAAAAAUACUGCCGGUGAGCAGCCUGGAGCUCAGCAGAGAGACUAGAGGUACAACAGCCUUUAAGCUUUGAAGCAUCACUAUCUGUGGCAAUCAGCCCAGUGCGCUCAAGUAGGUUAAACCAAAUCACCAUAAUAUGCAAAUUCCCUGGAUUAAACUUUCCAGAGAGUAAAGUUGAACCAUAUAGCAGUGUUUGUGUUUUUGCACAGGUUUCUUCUCUCUGAAUGCACAGUUUCUUCCUCCAAAAUAAAGCUUCCAAGAGCCUAAGAGUUAUAAUGCAUUAUAUAAUACAUUUCUGGAAAGAAAAAAGGGGCUUCUGUGAAGUCAGGGAAACCUUAAAUGAGCAGAUCCUCAGGGCGAAGAGCUCAGCGAGGGACCCAGUGCCAACCAGCCCUGCAGCCUGCAGCUCCAUGCUUGAUUGGUCUCAGUGGGAAACCAGAAGAGAGGGCAGAAAUCCCAUCUACACACACAUGCAUGCACACAGCCUGCAAAGAUAUGUAUGUCAUACACAUGCUGCCACAUGAACUCGCUUAUUGUGAUGUAAACAAAUGCUCCGACAACAGGAAAACACAACCUGACAUCUGAAAAAAAAUUCUAGUUAAAAGCGCAGAAAAACGCACAGACACCCACGUUGUACACCCACUUACACCCACACACAUUAAGAGUCUUACAGCACGGGAGGGGGGGCUGGGUUCACAGCCUGCAAGCUAUUCAAAAGCUAAUUCUUCUGCACUGAUCCUGGCCAGCCACCUGCACUGAUGAGGAGGGGAGGAGGGGAAGAAAAGGAGGAGGGAGGGAGGGAGGGAGGGAGGGAGGAGGAGGUAGCAGUAGAAGAAUGACAUCACCUUCCCUGAAAUGUCACCAUUAUCUCAAGCCUCAGCUUAGCCGUCUACAAGGGUGACAUCAUCCUCUCUUUGCCCCUCCCCCCUCUGUUUCUGCAUGAGGUUGUGUGCGGUGAGAGAGGGAGGAUGUUUGUUUGUGUGCAUGUGCGUGAAGGCGUGUGAGUGACAGAGCAAGUGUGUAUGCGUGUGUGCGUGCAGGAGAGCGCUUUGAAAAGAAGCAUGAGUGGAUGUUUGUCUGCGCUGUCUCUUCCCUGCCUUUUAACUGACAGCAGAACGGCGCACUUUAAUGACACUUUAAUUCUAUUUACCUCAUUUAGUGUUGACACAGCUACAUUUAAAGUGAAACUCUGGCAUAGACGCAAGUCAGUUUAAAGGAGCACGUUGCUUUGCAUGUUAAUUUGCAAAUAUAUAGAAUCAUGACUGUGUGAAUCAUGUAAAUCAUACAUAUGAAGUCACACUCGGGAGUAAUUGAACAAAUGUCAGUGAGUCAUUUCAUGCAAAUAAUAAAAUUUGUAUCUUUUCCAGCUUUUUUCUACCUUUGUUGAUAAGAUAGGAGACAAAGCAUUUUUAGUAACAGUCUCCUGCUGUAGAUUUGCACCCAGCCAAUGCCAGUAAGAACUGCCAAGAUGAUGUCAAAGACCAUGCUGAGAGAAAACCGCCUUGUCUUUACAGACAUGAUCAAAACAAGAAUAAAAUGCAACAAUGGUAAUCAGUGAAUUUGCAAAUCUUAAGGAGUUCUACUGAGAGUUAAUUUAUCAAAUAAAAUCAAUUAUUAUUUACAACUUUAAAGCAAAUUUCUGAUCUUUUCACUGUUUAAGAUUCAAUUUUAAGAUAUUACCAUGAUAGAAUAGAGUUCAAUGUUAUUAUCUUUGCAGAACUUGAACCAUAGACUGUACAAAAAUCAUGGACAGAACAACAGCUACCCCAAAUGAAGCCAAAACUUUAAAGCUCUUCUUGGUGGACAGCUGCCUCCUCCAUUAUGACAGAUGGGACAUGGGCCAAGCUUAAGUACAUUUACAGGCACAGCUAAAUUGAACUGCGGUCAUAGGCUACAGUCCCUGUCCCAGUUUACAUGCACCCGGCAAAAAUAGAAUUAUUGACAGAACAGUGUCCUUGCAACGCAUUUCUACAUAAUAUAAUGUUUUUUAACUACAAAAGUGGAGUGGAGGUCCUUGCAAAGGAGAAACAGACUACAGAUAGACUGAUUAAUUGUUAGGCCGAUAUUUAACCCAAUUAAUGGCCUUUUGAUGAAAUCGGCAUUAUACCAGCAACAGCCCUCAAGUAGGGAAACCAAACGUCCUUUUACCCAGACAAGUCCUCUUUUUUAACUUGUUCGGCUUUGUCCGGGGGAGUUUAUAAAAUUCUUCAAAUGUCCAGGGUUCGUAUGGAAGUUUUGAGUUUACUACUAUUAGGCCUGCUGACUGUAAUCACAUUAAAUUAAUUUUACAUUGUCCAUAAUUACUCAUAUCCUAACCCUGGAAACUGAGUUCAUUUUGUUUCACCAAUACAUGAGCUGUUGUUGCUGUUGCUGUUGUUUUAAUGUUGCGGCUGUCCCCUGUCUCUCUCUCGCUCAUCCUCGUUCUCUACUCUCUCUCCCUCCUUCUAUCUUGUUCUCUUUCUCUCCCCCUGCCCUCUCCCACUUCUCUCUCUCUCUCUCUCUCUCUCUCCCUCUCCUCUCUCUCUCCCAUCUCUCUGUAUUCCUCCCCAACCCAGCAGCGGCAUGGUGGCUGUCUGGCAUGAGUCUGGUCCUGCUCAAGGUUUCUGCCUGUUAAAAGGAAGUUUUUACUUGCCACUGUUACUCAUGUUGGAUGAGAUGGGCCAAAUCCCAUCUUAGGUUGGGUCUUGAUUAUUCAUCAAACAAUGAGCGUGGUCUAGACCUGCUCUUUUCUUUGGGAAGCGUCUUUGGAUGACGACUGUUGUGAAUUGGCACUAUAUAAAUAAAAUUUGAUUGAUUGAUUUGGGUUUGUCGCAUGGACUUACUGAGUUAGAAGCGCGAAAAAAACACUCGAUCCAACCCGAAAAACUUUCAAAAUUUACGACGCACGACUCCAUGACUCUGCCCCUGCAUAUCCGUGAUUCAGAAUAUGGUCACCCUACCUCAAGGCUGAUAAAAACAUGGUCUUUUCUAAAUGAAAUAUGCAUGUUAGCAUGUCAUCUUAAAUCUAAAACAGUUGUGAGCUAGUGUCUCACAUACAUUCUCCCGUUAUCAGUGAUUUGAUUAGAGGAGGGACUGUGUUAUCAGCCCAUGUUUCCAUCUGCCAGAUCGCCUCUGUGCAUGCCUGAGCUCAGUUUAAUUUAUCAGCGCCCAUGGAGGAGGUAUUUUGGUGGUAUUACUUCUUACAAUGGGAGGAGUGGAAGGCGCACCCUCCAUAUUAAUAUACAGUCAAUGGCUGUUACUAUUCAAAUAAAUCCAGAUGCAAUGUCACCAUCAUCAUACAUAAUCUACACACCUCGCCGUUGACAGUUUAAGCUACCAUUUCUCAGGCUACUUAUAAGUAGCAGGAACUUAAUAAUACAAGGGAGCUGGUGAUUUACAAGUUUUGGACACAGAUGCUCGCAAGCAGCUCACAAAUUACCCCCCACCCAUCGUUCCUCCUCUCCAGUCCUCAUCACGCGUCCUAGAGGAGCACUGUGAGUUCUGACCUCUGUCAUGUCAUUACACUAUCUGAUGUCCCGAGCAGCUGGCAGUCGUAAAAUCCACCGAAGCAUGCCAAGCGUGCCAUCACUGCCCUCAGUACGUGUCCCAACACUCCCCAAAU